rnacentral:rRNA from 1 species
UACAGAGGUCUCGAGCGUUAGGCGGAAUCACUGGGCUUAAAGCGUGUGUAGGCGGAUCGUUAAGUACCUUGUGAAAUCCCACGGCUUAACCGUGGAACUGCUUGGUAUACUGGCGGUCUUGAGCCAGCUAGGGGCUACCGGAACAAAUGGUGGAGCGGUGAAAUGCGUAGAUAUCAUUUGGAACGCCAAUGGUGAAAACAGGUAGCUGGGGGCUGUGCUG